CCUAAGUCGAUGCGACAAUGUGAGUACAUUAGUGGAAAACAUUUACAACAUCAACUUAAAACUAUUAUUUAAACACAUAACAUAUCAGGGUGAUGCAACGAUGCAAACAACAUGAAAAGAGUUUUUUAGAGCAAACACAGAAAUUCAAACAAUCACAGGAGGUUUGUCUCGCUCAUUGAACUGCCACUUAAUCCAUUCAAAUUUUUCGUUUGUGUCUCUUAUGACGUCGAGCAUGUCUCGAUAACACUUUUAUGCCAAAAGUGUACAGGCAAAAAAGUAAAAUGAUGUUCGAUCCUCGAGCCGUCUUGUCGCUAACAACUCUUUGAUGUAGGCGACGCCAGCGUUUUAGUUCGAAGCCAUCAUGGUAAUGAUCUUCACAGCCACUUUUUCGGUGGCAAUGGUGGUCCGGUCAACUAAGAACGAAAGCUCACGUGCAGAGUUUUUUUUCUUCUUGCCUCGUCGCUUGGCACUGGAAGACUUCCUUUCACCUCUGCUUAUGGUAUUCGAGACAUUCAUGCCUGAUCUACCGUCUGUUUCGUCUGCUCAUCAUUCGAACCACUACUCUCCCAUCGAUCGGGAUGCAGCGUAUUGCCCUCGAACAAGCUGAACCCCGUUCUACACAAUUUAAUCGAAGUGACUGUGUACUUGUCAUUGUCGUAACUAUUGGCGAAUAGUUGACGAUAACGGAUGUAGAUUAUGCUCACAUCCUUGUUCUCCUACAAACAAUGGUUAAACAAUGAAGGCAGCAGUUCGAAUGAAAAAAAAAGUGUCAACAAUCCAAACAUGAUAGUGACAAGAAUUCAGUGAGCAUGGUGCGAUGCAAAUAGCCAUAAUAGCGCAUGUGCAAAAGUACAUAGGAAGUUAAAAGGGUACUUAACAACCAUUUCCAAAUCAGAAUGCUAUAGCUUUAAUGCUCGAAAGACAUGUUUUAAUGUGAUAGUUAGAAAAGAGACAAUGUGAUAGUUGUGUUAAAUACGUUAAAGAAAGCAAUGUGAGAUCUUGCAUUUAAAAAAAAAAAAAAAAACAGAUGCUAAACUCAAUGAACAUGCAUGUAACUAUGAAUAAUAACUUUAGUCAAAUAAUAUGAAUAGUUCAAUUACAAUAAUAAAAAAAAAAGCCAUUGAAUUGUAGUAUAACAGUGAAAACUAGAAAAAAGAAAACAUCAUUGCAAUAACGGGAUAAUUAAAUCGGAAUACACAUAUAUAGGGUUCCUGUUUGCACACACGACCUCUACCCCAAACACGAACAAAAAUUGUAGGAAAUAAUAAAUCAAAAAGGAAAUGGGGAACAAGAUGAAAUACUAUAGCCCAUAACUUGAAAAUAAGACCUACGUUAGCUGAUUUAAAUUUGGAAGCACAUCAAAAGUCAUAACCAACAUCUCUAAAAUGAGGAGUACUUUUACUACCUGGUUUUUACACAUUAGAAGACUAAAAUGCAAAUUCUUGUAUUCCCAUAAAUCAAUCCACAUUUAACAGCAGCUACAAGAUAAAAUUAUAGCAACGUCUCAAGGAGAACGACACGCAAAUGCAUUCUUCGAAACCAUAACCACGUCCACAUAUUUUUGUAACGAAAUUGAUAUAUACGAAAAUGUAACAUGCUGAGUGGGCAGAAAUGAACAAGCAGAUGUACAUUUGUAUCCGACAAGAAAAUGGGUGACCUUUAUCUUUCAAGUCCACCAUUCCGUCGAUGCUACAAUUCGGCUGGUGGAUGGGUUGUAUUCGACUCCGCUGCAAUUUAACAGCUCAGAAAGAUGUUUGUGGGCUCGACGCAUUGCAUCCCAAUGGCUGCACAGUUGUUGCUUGCUCCAUUUGUGCUCAGAAAUAGAGUUGAACCGUAAAAACUGGCUCCUAGUCGUGCAUGUUUCAUAAAACACCGACCAUUUCGAUGUCCUUCGACAAUGGUGAUUUAACAAGCUGCAAUGAACAUUUAGGUCUCCGAUGGGUUCCACAGCGUAAGAUUUCAUCUCGAAGGCAUGUCCGAGUUCCUAUGCCACAAAAGAGUUACCGUGCGGAACGUAUCCCAUAUUCAUGCAUAAAGGUGAGCAUCAACAAGUGGUGUUUAAUGAGGAAAAGUGUGAGAAUAAUUUUGUAGUCUAUCAAAAUACUUGUUUGUCAGUCGGAUCCAUUCGGUUGACUAAGAUGCAAAGGAGAGGCAGUAGCGACAUCGGAGCAGGGACUGAUAUUUCACAACUACGGUGCUCGACUACGUUAACGUGAUGCAAAUUUACGGCCACGAUGUUGAGGAACUGCUCUUCCUCUAAGAUUUUGGUGCUACGACACGUGUUACAAUUUCGACCGCCUUGUUCUACCUAAUCUUUGACAGGACGACUGUGUUGAAGGAGAAGUAUUUGGUGAUUAGGUCGAACAAUUUCACAAAAAGCUUAAAUUGCCUUCAGCUGUUCUAUGAUUCCAUCUACAAAGUGCUCUGUGCUUUUGGGUACAUCUUCGAUGGGGGAAGGGCAAAAUAAGGAAAGUGUAAAGACUACGGGAUUGUUGAAGACACAUGGGAUGUCAGAACAUGGAUGGGUAACGGUCCAAAAG
rnacentral:lncRNA from 1 species